rnacentral:tRNA from 1 species
AUCUGGCUGGCUCAGUCAGUAGAGCAUUUGACUUUUGACCUCAGAGUUGUGAGUUCAAGCCUCAUGCUGGGUU